UCUAACUCUUGGAUGAAAAAUUGAAGUUCGUGUCUUUAGAUAUCUUUUGACGGUAUCGUAAUGGGAAGUCUGUUAGUUUUUCCUCCCUGGCCUUUCUCUUAUUUUUCAUUUCUUUUCUGAAUUCUCAAUUGCUGAACCAUUGCGACAGGCAUUGGUAAAAAUUGGUUUCUCGCUGGACUCUCCCGCUUUCUACACAGUCUGUGAGAGCUUUGAUCAAAAGAAGAAAGGAAUGUUCCGACUAGAUGACUUCAUAUCUCUUUGUAUAUUUUUGCAGUCUGCUCUCAUACGAAAGAGAGGGAGUUUUUAUUUCAUUUUUCAAUAUUUAUUUAUUUUUAACAAACGAAAUGACCAAUUUGCCCU